rnacentral:lncRNA from 1 species
AUUCAAUGGAGCUUUCUCGAACUGGUCAUACAAAUUCUUUCCUUCCUUCCUUCCCUUCCCUUUCUUUUUCUCUCUAGCUAUAUCUCUUCAUGAAAUGUCUAUUUCCUGCUUUUUUCAUAUGAUUUUCUUUCCAUAUGAAUACUAUUGGAUCUCAAGGUCUAAUGAGAUAUGAGUUAUCUUGCAAAACACUCAGUUCCAACUUCCUGCUAAUUACAGUAUCAGAAGUUAAAAGGGUUGGUCAGUCAUAUAACUGUCUGUGUAGUUGCUGUAAACUUCAAGGAAGCAAGAUCUUGCAUUCUUUUCUAAGCACAAGGACAGAGCAUUUGUUGGUUGAGAUUUGGAGUUGCCAAUUGUUUGACCGAUCAGAAAAAUAAUCAAGAUCAGUCUGAAGAACAGUAGCAUUGUCGGUGUUGAAUAGUUUUACGUCAUCCGCGAAAAGGACACAGAUGCUUAUAAGGUGACUGCAAAGGUCAUUUAUGUAGAGUAUAAAGAGUGUGGAUUCUAGAAUGCUGCCUUGGGGGACACCGCUGUUAACUGGAGCAGGGUUUGAUAUAGCGCUCCCUAUUUUUACUAUUUGUUGCCUGUUUGACAGGAACACAGUAAUCCACUCAUGAAGGGAUCCAGAAAUGCCGUAAGAGUUUAGUUUUAACAGUAGUUUGUCAUGUACCACUGAAUCAAAGGCUUUGCAGAAGUCUAUUGCUUUACCUUGGCCGAGUAGAGUAGUCCAUAUGUUUUUGUAGUGUAGGAGUUGUAGAUGCAGGACAAUUUUUUUCUGAAACCAAAUUGUUUUUGGGAGAGUAGGUUGUUUGACUCUAAGUGGAGGGUAAUGGAUUGGUUAAUGAUUGAUUCCAUGACUUUGCACUUGACACAAUUGGUCUGUAGUUUUCAACCAGGCUGGGGUCACCUUUUUUGAAGAUAGGGAUGACCAUUGCUAAGGACCAUAGGUUUGGUAAUCACCAUGAACCUUUUCCUCCUGUGUAACCUUCCUUCGUUCCAUAUUUCGUUAAAUCCUGUUUCCUUUAAGAGUGAAAGCAGAUGCCCUUUAAACACGUCUCUUUAUCUAGAGCUUAUGGGUGUUUUAUCUUUCUUAC